rnacentral:rRNA from 1 species
UUCCCCUAGUAGCGGCGAGCGAAGCGGGAAGAGCUCAAAUUUAUAAUCUGGCACCUUCGGUGUCCGAGUUGUAAUCUCUAGAAGUGUUUUCCGCGUUGGACCGCACACAAGUCUGUUGGAAUACAGCGGCACAGUGGUGAUACCCCCGUACACGGUGCGGACGCCCAGCGCUUUGUGAUACACUUUCAAUGAGUCGAGUUGUUUGGGAAUGCAGCUCAAAUUGGGUGGUAAAUUCCAUCUAAAGCUAAAUAUUGGCGAGAGACCGAUAGCGAACAAGUACCGUGAGGGAAAGAUGAAAAGCACUUUGGAAAGAGAGUUAACAGUACGUGAAAUUGUUGGAAGGGAAACGCUUGAAGUCAGACUUGCUUGCCGGAGCUUGCUUCGGUUUGCAGGCCAGCAUCAGUUUUCCGGGGUGGAUAAUGGUGGUUUGAAGGUAGCAGCCUCGGCUGUGUUAUAGCUUUCCACUGGAUACAUCCUGGGGGACUGAGGAACGCAGCGUGCUUUUUGCGAAGGUUUCGACCUUUUCACGCUUAGGAUGCUGGUGUAAUGACUUUAAACGACCCGUCUUUGAAACACGGACCA